GGGGGCGAUCGGUUUCGACCGGGCAAGUUGAGGUCUGGAUGGCGUGUCGAGGUUGUCAGGCGGCCUCGUAAAACACCUGGCACAACGUUAGAUGCCAACAAUGGCUAUCGCCUGGCUGCCUAAUUAGUGCAGCUACGUCGGCCGGCAACGCCCGCUAGCCGAACCGACGAAAACAGUGGGCUGGUUCGAGCGUUCCCGUCGGGUGGCGCCGGAUGAGAUAAAACCUGGCUGGGCGAGCGGAUGGCCUGUCGAUCGGCCUGCCGUGAGCCGAGACUCAAAUCGGUCGGCUACACACGUAGAUGUCCAGGCCAAAGUGCUUCGGGACGCGGGUUCGAUUCCCGCCGCCUCCAA
rnacentral:tmRNA from 1 species